UACGAAGGGGGCUAGCGUUGUUCGGAUUUACUGGGCGUAAAGCGCACGUAGGCGGAUCGUUAAGUCAGGGGUGAAAUCCUGGAGCUCAACUCCAGAACUGCCUUUGAUACUGGCGAUCUUGAGUCCGGAAGAGGUGAGUGGAACUCCUGGUGUAGAGGUGGAAUUCGUAGAUAUUAGGAAGAACACCAGUGGCGAAGGCGGCUCACUGGUCCGGUACUGACGCUGAGGUGCGAAAGCGUGGGGAGCAAACAGG
rnacentral:rRNA from 1 species